rnacentral:rRNA from 1 species
AUUGAACGCUGGCGGCAGGCCUAACACAUGCAAGUCGAGCGGAAACGAGUUAUCUGAACCUUCGGGGAACGAUAACGGCGUCGAGCGGCGGACGGGUGAGUAAUGCCUAGGAAAUUGCCCUGAUGUGGGGGAUAACCAUUGGAAACGAUGGCUAAUACCGCAUGAUGCCUACGGGCCAAAGAGGGGGACCUUCGGGCCUCUCGCGUCAGGAUAUGCCUAGGUGGGAUUAGCUAGUUGGUGAGGUAAGGGCUCACCAAGGCGACGAUCCCUAGCUGGUCUGAGAGGAUGAUCAGCCACACUGGAACUGAGACACGGUCCAGACUCCUACGGGAGGCAGCAGUGGGGAAUAUUGCACAAUGGGCGCAAGCCUGAUGCAGCCAUGCCGCGUGUGUGAAGAAGGCCUUCGGGUUGUAAAGCACUUUCAGUCGUGAGGAAGGUGGUGUAGUUAAUAGCUGCAUUAUUUGACGUUAGCGACAGAAGAAGCACCGGCUAACUCCGUGCCAGCAGCCGCGGUAAUACGGAGGGUGCGAGCGUUAAUCGGAAUUACUGGGCGUAAAGCGCAUGCAGGUGGUUUGUUAAGUCAGAUGUGAAAGCCCGGGGCUCAACCUCGGAAUAGCAUUUGAAACUGGCAGACUAGAGUACUGUAGAGGGGGGUAGAAUUUCAGGUGUAGCGGUGAAAUGCGUAGAGAUCUGAAGGAAUACCGGUGGCGAAGGCGGCCCCCUGGACAGAUACUGACACUCAGAUGCGAAAGCGUGGGGAGCAAACAGGAUUAGAUACCCUGGUAGUCCACGCCGUAAACGAUGUCUACUUGGAGGUUGUGGCCUUGAGCCGUGGCUUUCGGAGCUAACGCGUUAAGUAGACCGCCUGGGGAGUACGGUCGCAAGAUUAAAACUCAAAUGAAUUGACGGGGGCCCGCACAAGCGGUGGAGCAUGUGGUUUAAUUCGAUGCAACGCGAAGAACCUUACCUACUCUUGACAUCCAGAGAACUUUCCAGAGAUGGAUUGGUGCCUUCGGGAACUCUGAGACAGGUGCUGCAUGGCUGUCGUCAGCUCGUGUUGUGAAAUGUUGGGUUAAGUCCCGCAACGAGCGCAACCCUUAUCCUUGUUUGCCAGCGAGUAAUGUCGGGAACUCCAGGGAGACUGCCGGUGAUAAACCGGAGGAAGGUGGGGACGACGUCAAGUCAUCAUGGCCCUUACGAGUAGGGCUACACACGUGCUACAAUGGCGCAUACAGAGGGCGGCCAACUUGCGAAAGUGAGCGAAUCCCAAAAAGUGCGUCGUAGUCCGGAUUGGAGUCUGCAACUCGACUCCAUGAAGUCGGAAUCGCUAGUAAUCGUGGAUCAGAAUGCCACGGUGAAUACGUUCCCGGGCCUUGUACACACCGCCCGUCACACCAUGGGAGUGGGCUGCAAAAGAAGUAGGUAGUUUAACCUUCGGGGGGACGCUUACCACUUUGUGGUUCAUGACUGGGGUGA